CUCAUGGAUGAAAAGUACUGUAGAACAAUGCCUGACACAGAUACAGAUCUCAAAGCAAGGCUUGUUGGACAAAUAAAUGAAGAUGAGCCCAAGAGCCCAGGAGAGGGACCGGGAACAGCAGGGCCUCCGUGACUCACACAAGCUUCAUCCCUGAACCAAGGACGCAGCCUGCCAACAAUGGCCCCAAGCCACACCCCGCCACAGGGGGAACUGAUGCUGCGGUGAGAAGUGACAGCUUUCUGUUGACUCUUUUUUUUUUCAAGCAGAAUAUGAAUUGAGACAUACUUUCAUUUUCAUAAUCAGAACCUAACACUUAGUAACCAAUGUUGGUGGAAGCAAAUGAGAUCACAGUUUGUCUGUUCCAAACUCAUCUCUGGGAAAAGGAGGAGGAAAAAUUAUUGGCACUAUGUUCAGAAUCAUAGCUGAAGAUGCAGAAAUUGUUCAUCCCAAUUUUGCCUUUCUGAAGAAAGCCACCACUAAGAAAACGAAAAGAGAAGCAGCAGACCAGGAGAAAAUAUUUGCAAAACCAAAUCUGAUAACGGACUUGUAUCCAGUAUUUGCAAAGAACUUCUAAACUUAAUAACAACAACGACGACAAAGGAGCAAAAUCCCUGGUGGUCUAGCAGUGAGGAUUAAAAAAGAAAAGAAGCAAAAUAUAUGAACAGCUGUUUCUCCAAAGGAGAUAUACCAAUAGCUAAUAAAAUAUGCACAGAUGCUCCACAA
rnacentral:lncRNA from 10 species